rnacentral:rRNA from 1 species
AUGCACUGGAGUACUGAUGUUUACCAUGCGCCCGAAUAUCAAUAUGGUAAUCUUCGCCGAUUACCAAAAACAAGCCAUUUAUGGAUAUUGUCAGUAAGUAUGUGCAGAUCCAGUAUAGCGUCUUUUUCACUCCACAAGGAUCAAGAUCAAAUGAAUACUUAUGGUAAAAAAGAUAGGGAAAUUCUUGAUUAUUCAACGUCGGAUCGAAUCAUGUCCAAUGGCCAUUGGAAUUUUAUCUAUCCUUCUAUUUUUCAAGAUAAUUCAGAUUUGUUGGCGAAAAAGCGAAGAAAUAGGUUCGUCAUUCCAUUACAAUAUCAUCAAGAACAAGAGAAAGAACUAAUAUCCUGUUUUGGGAUUUCGAUUGAAAUCCCCCUUAUGGGUGUUUUACGUAGAAAUACAAUUUUUGCUUAUUUUGACGAUCCCCGAUACAGAAAAGAUAAAAAGGGUUCAGGAAUUGUUAAAUUUAGAUAUAGGACCCUAGAAGAAGAAUAUAGGACUCGAACGGAAGACUCAGAAGAGGAAUAUGAGACCCUAGAAGACGAAUACAGGACCCGAGAGGACGAAUAUGAAUAUGAAACCCUAGAAGAAUCUAAAUAUGGAAUCCUAGAAGACGAAUACGAAUAUGAAACCCUAGAAGACGAAUAUGGGAGCCCAGAAAACGAAUAUGGGAACCCAGAGAACUUUAGAGAAAGACUCAGAAGAGGAAUAUGGGAGCCCAGAGAGCAAAUAUAG